rnacentral:rRNA from 1 species
GAGUUUGAUCUUGGCUCAGGAUGAACGCUGGCGGCGUGCCUAACACAUGCAAGUCGAACGGGGUUAUUUUGGAAAGUUCCUUCGGGGACUGGAAUCUAUAACCUAGUGGCGGACGGGUGAGUAACGCGUGAGCAAUCUGCCUCUAGGAGGGGGAUAACAGUCGGAAACGGCUGCUAAUACCGCAUAUGCCUUAAUCUUCACAUGGAGAUAGGAGGGAAAGGAGCAAUCUGCUGAUAGAUGGG